rnacentral:rRNA from 1 species
UACGAAGGGGGCGAGCGUUGUUCGGAAUUACUGGGCGUAAAGGGCGCGUAGGCGGCCGAUCAAGUCAGAUGUGAAAGUCCUGGGCUUAACCUGGGGACUGCAUUUGAUACUGAUUGGCUUGAAUGCAGAAGAGGAUAGCGGAAUUCCCAGUGUAGAGGUGAAAUUCGUAGAUAUUGGGAAGAACACCGGUGGCGAAGGCGGCUAUCUGGACUGUGAUUGACGCUGAGGCGCGAAAGCGUGGGGAGCAAACAGG